AAACACAAUCGUGACUAGCGAUCUUUACUACUCAUGAAUAUAAGUUCAUAACGAUUAGGUGAAAUUCCCUUAUAUCCUAGCAUCAAGUUUAGGCAUGCAAAUUAAGUGUCGACCCUCAACCCACAUACAUAAACAAGUUCUUAAUCAAAACAGAAAAGUAAACCACAUCUAAAGUUCAUGAAUUCAUAACUGGAGUAAAAACAAAUCAUAACCAACAUAUGUCCAUGGCUUCAAAUUUGCCUCUAACUAAAAAGAAAUUAGUUCCACAUGUUUAACAUAAUUGAACAGCAAGUUAAAUUAAACAUGAACAUAGAAUUAAAAGAAGAAAGAAUUCCAAACACUCUAAUAGUUGCAGAUUGCAUAAGCAUGGCACUACUCCUCCUCUCCUUCAAUGGUGGCGGCACAAGGUGGUUAUGGUGGUUGAAUGGUUGGUUAUAUGGAGGAAUGGAUGGGGAAGGUUUAGAUAUGUAGGGAGAGGCAAGGGAAGGCUUGGAGAAUGGUUAAUUUCUGGAUGAUUUGAAUGAGGUUGCUGCCAUGGUAUUUAUAGGAAAAUGAUGGACUUGUUUAACAUAAAAUUCUGGUGGAAUUGAGUAGGUGAGCACGGCAAAGAGUGGGAAUUGUUGGUGGGUUAGGUAUUGAGUCAUCCAUUCACAUGUCAUGGUGAGUUAAGCAUUGCAUCAUCCACUCACAUGUCAUGGUGAUUUAAGCAUUGCAUCAUCACUCAAAUUUCUGGUGAAAGUGAAUCAAUGCCCACGGCAUUGAAGAAUUUCUUGGUUUUGAGUGAAGUUUUGGUCAAUCCUUCUAGAAAUUUAUCCCUUCUUGCAACUUGUAUUUGUUUCACCAGAUUUUUAGCAUGUUCAUAGCCUCUUUUGUCUUCAAAUUUGUCCAUCCUCAUGCCUCCAUGCUUGCACAAUCCAAUCUUGGCCCAAAAAUGUUCUAGAAUGUUCCAAAUUGCUUCUUUUUGCAUACUUUGACACUAAAACCUGAAAUUGCACGAAAAUAACUUUAAACACUAUAAUUAUAAUAGCUUAGCUAAUUAAAAGCAAGAAAACAAGCUAACUAAGUCGUAUAAAUAUGCUCCUAUCAAUUUCCCCCACACUUAGCUUUUGCUAGUCCUCGAGCAAAAUAAAACAAACAAAACAUAACUUAACCUUCCAACAUUUGCUACAGGGAUUUCCAACGAUACAUAACAUGCCAAAGAUCAUUAUUCCCACAGAUUUUAGUCAUCCCUACUCUUGAGCAUAUACUUAAUCAUAGUUACCAUUCACUAGCUCACAUUUAAUCGUUUAAAACAACAUUAUGGACGUAGUAACAUGCCUUAGAGAAUCCACUCAAUUCCUUACUGGAUACACUCUUAUUUUCACACAGAUUUUCUAACUACACUCCCUAUACUAAGUAUAUGUGAGAAGAUUGAUGUAAACAUGGAAACGAACACUCACACAUGUUAUAAAAAAAGCACUUUUCUAGAAUGAUUAAGCAUUUAUAGAUAUGAUCUCAUGAAUGGAACGCAGAACCAGGGACACCAUAUGCUCAAACCAAUCCCAAACUCCACAUAUUGAAAUACAUAACACUCAAGAUAGAAGUUAAGGAUUGUAACGGGGCUAAGGGGUAUUGGCUAACAAAGAAAGGUUAAGGAUAAACAAAAGUUCUUAAAGCGAUAGCAAACAAGUAAUGAAUAUGACACUUAGAAUUCACUUUUGCGUGCAGAAAAUCACUUAGACACACAAGGGGGUGAAAUACACAAUAUUUAGGGUCUAAUUUAACUUUUUUGGACCCUUUCUUCAACAACCAACACUUGUGAGUUCUUUCUUAUUUUGACCUCUUUGCCAUAAUUUUUUAUUUUUUAUUUUAUUUUUUUUUUCGUACCCAAUUCUUGCUUUUGGCACAAAUUCCCACACAUAAAUUCCUUCCCCCACACUUGUUUUUCUGCACAAGAAUAAUCAAAAGGAAUUCAUUCUAAGUCAUGUUCACUAUGCUUUAAGAACAAAGGCAUGGAUGGUCCUAUUCUAGGCUAGGUAAGGAUAACGUGGGUUAACAAAGAACAUAGGCUAAACAAGGCUCAACGGGGCUUAAACCUACAAAACAAAUGAACAUGGGGUGCGGCUAUUUGGUUCUUGGUUUACUAACAACUUCAUCUUGUUAUGUGUUAUGCGAAUCAAUUUUAUGCUUUGAAUGAAACGGGCAUGAGUUCUAGUAUUUGGAACUAAAUGAUGAAACGCCUUCUAAGUAGUAACCAAGCAAAGAAUAAUGAGAUCAUGCAACGACUUUAGAAGACAACAAAUGCACAGAUUAUUAACUCUCCAAAGAACGUUAAAAGCUCAAGUCUCUCAGGGUUGUAGCGUUAGUUUGAGUUUCUUCUUUCAAGCAUGUUACAAAAACUAAUUUUUCUUUUUUGAUUACAUGUGAAUUCAUGAAUUACAACUAAGCAUAAACCAAAGAGCAUAUCAAACUUUCAUCCAUGAUUGUAACUUACUUCAACAGUUAUGCAAUUAAAAACCAAAUCCUCAUCAUUGUGUUGGAAGGUACCCUAAAACACAAAAAUGACUCAAAAACGACUCUUUUUGGUAUUUUUCAAACUUUUUCGAAUUUUUCUAGGGUUUUCUGUUAUAUAACACUAAAACACAUCAAAACACUAAAAACACUUUAAAACAGUGAGAAACAACAUGUGAAGUGAUAGGUGAUAAAAUCCCACGAAUUUCAUGCAAAAAUAGCUUGUUUACCCCUCCACACUUAAACCAAACAUUGUCCUCAAUGUUUUAAACAUAGAUUAACACAAAAACAAUCAACUAACACAACUAGCAAACAUAACACAAAUGGCAAAGUAAUAGCAAUAAAGAGAUAGGUUAGGGACGCAAAUCUGGGUUUGGAGUGAAAGUUCCUUCUUCUCGUGUUUCAACACAUGGGUUGCCUCCCAAGAAGCACUUGCUUUAACGUCUUUCAGCCGGACGGUACCUCCGUUUAAGCUUGACUAGGUUCCACGGCAUGGAGGGGUACCUCCUCCACGACAUGCUCCUCAAACAUCUCGUAAUAGGGCUUCAAUCGAUGCCCAUUCACUUUGAAUUCUUGCUGCGUCCUUGAACUUUUGAUUUGCACUGCACCAUGAGGGAAAACAUUAGUGACAAUAAAAGGACCAACCCAUUUGGAACGCAACUUACCCGGAAACAACCGAAGGCGAGAAUUGAACAACACUUUCUGCCUAAUAGAGAACGUCUUGGCACGAAUCAUCUUGUCAUGGAAUGCCUUCGUUUUCUCCUUGUAAAUCCGGGCAUUCUCAUAUGCUUCAUUUCGGAUUUCAUCAAGUUCACACAAUUGAAGCUUUCUAUGUAAACCUGCGGCAUUAAGGUCCAAAUUGAACGUUUUGACGGCCCAAUGUGCACGAUGCUCUAACUCGACAGGAAGAUGGCAUGGCUUCCCAUAGAUGAGUCGAAAAGGUGACAUCCCAAUAGGGGUUUUGUAGGCAGUGCGAUACGCCCACAAUGCAUCGUUUAAGCGCAAAUUCCAAUCCUUCCUUGUAGGCCCCACGGUUUUCUCAAGAAUCUGCUUGAUUUCCCUAUUUGAAACAUCGGCUUGCCCGCUCGUUUGAGGAUGAUAAGGUAUGGCCACCUUAUGCGUGACAUUGUAUUUCUUGAGCAACGCCUCGAUGGUUCGAUUACAAAAAUGGGAACCUCCAUCACUGAUUAGCACUCGUGGCAUUCCAAACCUUGCAAAAAUGUUAGUUUUCACAAAAUCUGCAACCACUCGAGAAUCAUUAGUUCGGGUGGCUUUUGCUUCCACGCAUUUCGACACAUAGUCCACAACAAGCAAUAUAUAAAGAAACCCUUGUGACGAAGGAAAGGGACCCAUAAAAUCAAUACCCUAAACAUCAAAGAUUUCAACACUAAAAAUGGGGGUUUGCGGCAUUUGUUGUUUAGGACCAAUAUUGCCCGUUCUUUGGCAUCUAUCACAAGACAUGCAAAAUGUUCUAGCAUCCCUAAAGAUGGUAGGCCAAUAGAAACCACAUUCUAACACCUUAAGUGCUGUUCUUUGAGUGCCAAAGUGUCCCCCACAAGCAUAAGUGUGACAAAAGGUUAGAAUAUCAUUAAACUCAGAAUCGUGCACACACCUACGUAUAACUUGGUCAGGGCAAUAUUUCCAUAAAUACAGGUCAUCCCACACAUAAAACCGUGCCUCUUUCUUCAAUUUAUCACAUUGGUGUUUAAGUAAUUCACUAGGAACAUGUUUAGACACCAAAUAAUUCACCAAAUCAGCAUACCACAGUUCAUUUACCUUGACGGACAUCAGUUGCUCAUCUGGGAAUGUCUCUAUAAUAGGCACGGCAUCCUCCUCAUGCACCAUUCGGCUCAAGUGGUCAGCCACCACGUUUUCACUUCCCUUCUUAUCCCGGAUUUCGAUAUCGAACUCUUGGAGAAGAAGCAUCCAACGAAUGAGUCGUGGUUUGGCUUCCUUCUUGGUGAACAAAUACUUCAAUGCUGCAUGGUCAGUAUAAAUAAUAACUUUAGUACCAAGCAAAUAAGAACGGAAUUUAUCUAAAGCAAAUACAACAGCAAGAAGUUCUUUUUCAGUGGUAGAAUAAUUCAAUUGUGCAUCAUUUAAAGUCCGAGAGGCAUAAUAGAUAACAUGCGGCCUCUUUUCCUUCCUUUGCCCCAAAACAACUCCUAAUGCAUAAUCGGAAGCAUCACACAUAAGCUCAAAAGGAAAGCUCCAAUCCGGUGGAACUAUGAUAGGGGCCGAAGUUAGCAUUUCUUUGAGGUGAUUGAACGCCUUCUCACACUCCUCGUUGAAGUCAAACGCCACAUCUUUCUGGAGGAGACGGCAAAGAGGGUUUGAGAUCUUGGAGAAGUCCUUGAUAAAUCGCCUAUAAAAUCCUGCAUGACCAAGAAACGAACGAAUCUCUCGAACCGAAGUAGGAGAGGGUAAGUAGCGUAUAAGAUCUAUUUUCGAUUUAUCCACUUCAAUUCCUCUUUCUGAAACAAUAUGCCCUAGAACUAUGCCUUGUCUAACCAUAAAGUGACAUUUUUCCCAAUUAAGCACAAGGUUAGUUUCUACACAUCGUUUCAAAAUUCUUGUGAGAUUUUCCAAACAACCAUCAAAUGAAUCACCAAACACACUGAAAUCAUCCAUAAAUACCUCAAUAAUCUUUUUCACAAAAUCUGAAAAGAUACUUACCAUACACCUUUGAAACGUGGCCGGAGCAUUGCAUAAACCAAAAGGCAUGCGACCAUAAGCAAAAGUACCAAAGGGGCAUGUGAAAGUUGUCUUUUCUUAGUCAUCCGGCGCUAUGACAAUCUGAUUAUAUCCAGAAUAACCAUCAAGGAAACAAUAAAAAGAAUGACAGGCUAACCUUUCAAGCAUUUGAUCAAUGAACGGCAAAGGGAAGUGGUCCUUCCUUGUGGUGGCGUUGAGCUUCCUAUAAUCAAUGCACACUCUCCAACCUGUUUGGAUACGGGUUGGCACAAGCUCAUUCUCGGCAUUUUUCACCACUGUCACUCCGGACUUCUUUGGAACACAUUGGACCGGUGAUACCCAACGACUAUCAGAGAUCGGAUAAAUCACUCCACAAUCAAGAAGUUUGAUAAUCUCUUUUUUCACAACUUCCAUCAUUGGAGGGUUGAGACGGCGCUGAGCCUCUCGAGUUGGUUUAGCCCCCUCCUCUAGAAGUAUGCGAUGCAUGCACGUAGUCGGGCUAAUUCCCCUAAUAUCGGCCAAAGUCCACGUAAUGGCCGUCUUGUGCUCUUUCAACAUUCGGAUCAACUUCUCCUCUUCUAUGGCCGUGAGUGAUGAGGAGAUAAUGACGGGCAAUGUCUCGUUAUCUCCCAGAAAGACGUACUUUAAAUGAUCGGGCAACGGUUUAAGCUCAAGUACGGGUGCCUGAGUUACUGAGGGUAACAACUUAUUAGUGGAGACUGAAAUUGAAAUUGGGUUAGAAGGCUUACCAUGAUAUUGAGGUAGUGACUCAAGGGCAGCCACUAUCUCGGCCUCCUCCACACUUCUAGGCACGGCAAAACCAGAUUUUUGCCCAAUUCCUUGUGCAAUUGUUGUUUCAAGUGUAUCCCUCUCCAAACAAUCGAGAAAAUCCUGCGCCAAAUCAUCAAUUAUAUCAAUAGAAAAGCAAGAAUGAUCGUCCUUAGGAAAUUUAAUACUUUCAGAAAGAUUGAAAUCAAUGACUUCCCCAUCAAAUUCCAUCGUUAAAGUUCCUUUAAACACAUCUAUCUUGGUGCGGGUUGUUUUCAUGAAGGGCCUCCCUAAUAGAAUCGUCAAUGGGGUGGAAUGGGGUGAAUCUUCCGUGUCAAGCAUGUAGAAAUCCGCUGGAAAAUCAAGUUACUAACCUGCACCAAAACAUCUUCCAAAACACCCUUUGGAUAUGCAUUAGAACGAUCGGCUAAUUGAAUUAUCACACCAUCAUUUUUAAGCUCACCUAAGUUCAUAGAUGCAUAAAUAGAGUAUGGCAUAACAUUAAUUGAAGCCCCUAAGUCUAACAUGCAUUGUUCAAACUUAGUAUUACCAAUAACGCACGGAAUUGUAAAACUACCCGGAUCUUUGCAUUUAGGGGGUAAUUUCCUUUGUAACACAGCAGAGACAUUUUCACUUACUUGAACCACCUCUUUGUUCGAAAUCCUUCUCCUUGUUGUACAAAGUUCUUUUAAAAACUUAGCAUACCUCGGGACUUGCUUAAUCGCAUCAAGGAGCGGGAUAUUGACUUGAACUUUCCGAAAGGUCUCUAGAAUGUCCUUCUCGGCUUCUUCCUUCUUUGAUUGCUUAAACCCGCCAGGAAAGGGCACAUUUAGUGGAAUAGAACUAGAAAAAGUUGAAUUGGGACUUACCUUGGUGGUUUGGGACGGUUUAGGAGGACUAGAUGAAUUCGGCAAGGUUUGGUCAUCCUUGGCCUUGGGCUUUGCUCCCUGUGCUUCUUCUUGCAGCAACUUGUCCUCCUCGUCUUGACUUGAUUUGGAUGUAUUUGAGUCCGUUCCAACCUGUUUACCACUUUUUAACAUGAUGGCCUUAGCGGUUUCAAAUCCUCCAUUCGGGUUCAUAACAGUUGAACUAGGCAAUCUGCCUUAUUCUCUAAUUUGCCCCAUAAAUUCGGCAAUUUGACCCAUUUGCUUCUCCAAAUUGUCCACCCGUUUGUCUUGGAUUUGUCUCUCUUUAUUUUGAGUUUGUACUUCAUGCGUCAAAGUAGUAAGUAACUUAACAACUUGAUCAUUAUCCAAAGACAUACCUGAGGUUGUUAGGGCAGAUUGCACUUGGUUUUGAUUGGGGACGAAUGGCUUUGUAUAAAAGCUCGGUGGUUGCUGCCUAAUUCCUCCUUGUUGUUGGGGUUGUUGAGGAUCCCGCCAUUUGAAAUUUGGAUGGUCCCUCCACCCCGGAUUGUAGGUAUUAGAGUAUGGAUCAUGGCGUGGUUGAUUUUGGUUCCCAAAACCCACGGCAUUGGCAGAUUCCCAACCCCCAUUCUCAAUCAAUUGAGGGCAUUGAUCAUUGGCAUGUCCUUGCAUAGAGCACACGCCACACACACUUGGUCCAUGAAUCUUCAUUCCCUCGGCCAACUGAGAAACAAUAGAAGUAAGGUUAGCUAAUUGGGAUUGAAUUUCGGGCAUAGAACUUACCUCAUUCACUUGUGGCCGUGGGGGGUCUCUUUGUCCAACACCUUCGUAUUGUUGUGCAUUAUGUGCUCGGUUGGCAAUUAGAACUUUUGCAGCCCCCGGAGUUUUAUCCACCAACGCACCUCCUGCCGAGGCAUCAAGCAUUUGGCGUUCCAUGGGAAGGAGUCCUUCGUAGAAGUAUUGAAUGAGCAGCUCCUCCUUCAUUUGAUGCUGUGGACAAGAAGCAACAAGUGAUUUAAAACGUUCAUAAUAAGAAGGAAACGAUUCACCUUGAUCUUGUUGGAUGCCACUAAUCCGUUUCCUCAAAAGAAUGACUCUUGAAGUUGGGAAAAACUUCUCCAAGAAAGCUUUUUUCAUACUAUCCCAAGAUGUAACCGUUCCGGGUGCUAACUCGUAAAGCCAAUCCUUCGCCUUUUCCAAAAGUGAGAAUGGAAAAGCCUUCAUCAUCAGAAUGUUCCCGUCAACAUUUGUGGGUGUCAUGCUCGAACAAACAACCUCGAAUUCCUUGAGAUGUUUGUUGGGCUCUUCCAUGGAAAGCCCAUGGUAUUUCGGAAUGUGGUGCAACAAGCUUGACUUCAACUCGAAAUUCAUCGGUCUUGCCUUGGGCAGCCGCGGGGGUAUUGAAUGCAUAAUGGUGCGGCAUUGGUCAACCCCGAGGCUGAAAGCUCUUUAAUGGUCCGAUUGUCCGCUGCCAUAACUUCUUCUUUCACUUCUUCAAACUCAGAUUCGGCCUCUGAACUUGAACUAGGUUCACUAGGUUCGGGAUGCCUCCUCUUUCUUCUCAAAUCACGUUCAAAAUCGUCGUUAAAGUCCAAGAUAUGCACAGUUUGAGAACUCCGCGUCAUGCAUUAGUACCUAAACCAAGAAAACAAAACAAAAUAAGAAAACUAGGUAAAUUACACUAAAAACACACGGCAAAAACACAAGGGAUUAGCAAUUUUUGCUAAUCCCCGGCAACGGCGCCAAAAUUUGAUGUGAGAAUUACUUGACACACAAAUUAAACCCUAUUGAUGACAAUUGUAGUAAUGAUGUAAGUAGGGAUCGUUCUAGACCGGGGAUUAACUAGGGAUGCUAAUCAACAAAUAUAAGACUCAAAAACACUAAACUAGACUCUAUAAACGCAAAACUAACUUAAAACACUCAAAACAGCAAAUAACAAUAAAAAAGAUUCAAUUCUAGACCUAACAAGUGAUUUGGACGAAAAUAUAACUUUAAAAGACUCAAAAGAUUUAAAGGAAACAAGUUUUGACUCUAAAAGCAAGACUUAAAAGCAAGGGGUUUUGUUUUGACGAAAAUUGAACUUUUAAAACUUUAAAACUUUGAAAAUAAACUUAAAACAAAAUAGAUUGUGAUGAAAUAGAAUGAUGAGAAACUAGUUAGAGGGUUCCUUAUCCACACAUGAACAUAUGCAUAUAAUUUGAUUCCCAGUUAUGACUUCAACAAACGAUGAAUGACAAUGUUCCAAGUUAAUUAGGUCCGCUUAAAUUAACUCUUAGAUUUCCCUAGAUUCAUUGGAUUGAAUGGAAUACGCAUUACAACCAAAUUAUUCCUCAUCAAAGUCCCUAACUAUGGAAUACGCAUGAUAGAGACAUUCAACAAAGAUCAUUAAGUUCAACGGAAAUCAUAAACAUUGACUAGGCAUUCAUAACUAUGGAAUACGCAUGUUAAUCCAGCCUAGGGUUUACUUAAACACAAUCGUGACUAGCGAUCUUUACUACUCAUGAAUAUAAGUUCAUAACGAUUAGGUGAAAUUCCCUUAUAUCCUAGCAUCAAGUUUAGGCAUGCAAAUUAAGUGUCGACCCUCAACCCACAUAUAUAAACAAGUUCUUAAUCAAAACAGAAAAGUAAACCACAUCUAAAGUUCAUGAAUUCAUAACUGGAGUAAAACAAAUCAUAACCAACAUAUGUCCAUGGCUUCAAAUUUGCCUCUAACUAAAAAGAAAUUAGUUCCACAUGUUUAACAUAAUUGAACAGCAAGUUAAAUUAAACAUUAACAUAGAAUUAAAAGAAGAAAGAAUUCCAAACACUCUAAUAGUUGCAGAUUGCAUAAGCAUGGCACUACUCCUCCUCUCCUUCAAUGGUGGCGGCACAAGGUGGUUAUGGUGGUUGAAUGGUUGGUUAUAUGGAGGAAUGGAUGGGGAAGGUUUAGAUAUGUAGGGAGAGGCAAGGGAAGGCUUGGAGAAUGGUUAAUUUCUGGAUGAUUUGAAUGAGGUUGCUGCCAUGGUAUUUAUAGGAAAAGGAUGGACUUGUUUAACACAAAAUUCUGGUGGAAUUGAGUAGGUGAGCACGGCAAAGAGUGGGAAUUGUUGGUGGGUUAGGUAUUGAGUCAUCCAUUCACAUGUCA
rnacentral:lncRNA from 1 species